CACGACCCAUUCACCCAAUCCUCCGCCUCCGCCACCCUCCCAGCCAAGUCCGGUCUCCUUCUGGGCUCACCGAACUACUUAGUCACCGUCGGUCUCGGCACACCCGCCAAGCAACUCUCUCUCGAAUUCGACACCGGCAGCGACCUCACCUGGACCCAAUGCCGCCCAUGUCUUCGAUAUUGUUACACACAGAGCGAGCCCAUCUUCGACCCUUCUCUCUCUGCCUCAUACAAAAACUUAUCCUGUACAUCCGCCACGUGUACUCAACUCUCAUCCGCCGGCAUCCCACACCGUUGCUCCUCCGCCUCGUCCUCCUGCCUUUACGGCAUCCGGUACGGUGACGGGUCCUUCUCCAUCGGGGAUUUCGCCAAAGAAAAGCUUACAUUGACCUCCAUGGACGUUUUUGAAGGUUUCCUCUUCGGCUGUGGCCAAGACAACCAAGGCCUUUUCAACGGCUCUGCCGGUUUGCUCGGUCUCGGCCGAAACAACAUCUCCCUCGUAGAACAAACCGCCAUGAAAUACAACCGCUUCUUCUCCUACUGCCUUCCGUCAACUUCCAGCUCCACCGGUCAUCUCACCUUCGGCAACGGAGGAGGCUCCGCUAACGGCGUCAAGUUCACCAAGCUCACCACGUUAUCCGAAAGAGAGUCGUCGUUUUAUGGCCUCGGCCUCACCGGCAUCAGCGUAGGCGGGUGCCAGCUGCCGGUUGCGUCCUCGGUCUUUUCGUCUUCGGGAACCAUCAUCGACUCGGGGACGGUGAUCACGAGGCUGCCGGCGACUGCAUACACGGCUUUGCGGGACGCGUUUCGGGAGGGUAUGAAAAACUACACGAUGACUAUGUCGUUUUCGCUGCUGGACACGUGUUACAAUGUCAGUGGCUACGAGACGGUGUCGUUUCCGGAUAUUGCGUUUGGAUUUGGGGACGGGGUUACGGUGGACUUGGACGCGGCCGGGAUAUUGUUGGCGGUAAGUGAUUCGCAGGUUUGUUUGGCGUUUGCGGGAAACAAGGAUGAUAGUGACAUUGGGAUUAUUGGGAAUGUUCAACAGAAGCGGUUGGAGGUGGUGUAUGACGUGGCUGGUGGAAAAGUCGGAUUUGCCCCUGCAAGUUGCCCCUGAGUAAUGAACAUCGUCCAUGGGGCAUAAUUGUAACACAAACUGCUAGCUAUAGAAUAAAGCAUUGUGUUCCAUAUUUUUCUGUAAUGGGAUUGUAUUGGGAAGUAUCCAAUUCUUACCUUUCCCCACUACUUGUAUAAAAUAGUCUAAUGACCAAUCAAGCGAUAGUAUUUUAUAUAAUAAUAAAAUAAUCGAAUGUAUUGGAAGGAAAAUUCCAACUCAAAUACAAAAAGGGGUUUAUUGCCCUAAUCAAUUCUCCUAACUCACGUAUGUUGUCGGUGUUUUGAAGUAAUGCCACGUGUUAAUGUGCUGUUUCUCUUUUGAAAUAGCAAAAGUAGAACACUAAUCUCCAUCUCCUAGUUUGGGCUUGUUUUGCUUUUGGACUCGACCAGGCCAACUUUAGCACAAAAUGUCUUAAGAAGGACCUAAAAGAAAAUAAAAAAAGAAAAGGUCAAUGAAUUGGGAAGGCUUUGGCUUGGGCUUGGGGUGGUUCAGCUUCAAAUUUUAACCAGUGCCUAGGGUUCAGUGUAUUGGUUUCAGCGGAAAGGCUCGUCAGUCUGCAGUCUGUGUCUUGGGCUGCCUAUCCUUAACUAACCACUUUCUGAUUGCUUUGUGUAUGGGCUUUUUUUUUUCGGCAGCUACAAAUGGGCUAGGCUGCUAUAAGGAGCGAAUUGAUAAAAUUAUCUCUUGUGUUUAAGUUCAAAGAUCAAGCCCCAAGAAUGCUUCUAAAGGAUAGUGAAGCCUUAAGAAACACUUUGGUUACCUUCACCAACAAAAAUAACAACAGCUUACAGAUAAAUUCUUAGCUUGGCAUGAGAAGCUUGUGGCAUGGGAGCUAAGCAUUCAUGAAUUUAGCAUGAGAGAGAGAAAUGAUUGAGAUUUCCUAUGAGAAAUAGAGUUUUUAAGGCAUGAGGGAAGGGAUUCUAAAAGGAUUUGUUGUGGAGAGAGAGGGGGAGAGAGAUGAGGGCAAUGGGUGGCUUAAGUGUUUUUCCACCAGCUUGACAGAGGCUCUGUCAAAUGUUAAAACAGUCUACCAAAAAAGGGAAAAUGGGAGAGAAUGAUGAAUAUAGCACGAAUUUGCUAGGUUUUGCAAGUGAGAGAGGAAGCUUGCUCUCUGGACGUGGUUGUGGCUAGUGGUGGAGUAUUGGGUGUUUUUGGUAGUUUUUCAGCAGCCUGACAAAAGCUUGCCAGAAGAGAAAAUAGAAGGAGAUGGAGGAAUAGGGCACGAAAUUGCAGAGUUUCAGAGAUGAGAGAUGAAGCUUGCUCUCUAGAUGUAGGUUGAGAUAAUUGGUAGGAAAUGCUUCUUUUUAUAGGCAUUAGAAGCUACUUUUUUUCAAGAAACCCUAAUAGUUUCUAUCCAAUUUGGCCAAGCUUUUUUCCUUCAUUUCUUCUCCAUUCCUUUGACUUAUCCUAUUUGGUGAAAUUCUCUCUGCCCAAUUGCACAAAAACAGAGAUUUUGGGAGCUCAAUGCUCUUCUCACAGCUGCCUCAGUAGAGAACUCCCAUUUUCAGCCAUCUUUCUUCCUUCUUUACUCCCCUCUUCUAUGGCUAGAUCUGAUGGGGGGGAAAGAAAUGGGUAUGUACACUGGUUUGAAGGGUGUUUUGCUCAAGUAUCCCUUGGUUUUUCUGAUGGCUUGCGUUGGAUUUGUCUUUGGCCAUGUGCUGGAGAUUCCCAGCAGCCUGCAAAUGUGAGUGGCUUUUGGCUUUUAUCAUGGUUUUGUCUCCAACCAUGUACCGGAGACUUUCAAAUAUUUUGUUGGUCACUUGGGCCAUUCUUUAAGGUAAAGGCGCUAGUUCACUAAAGGGAUGGGCCAACUUCCCAAAGUGAUGGGCUAUCUUUUCUAAGGUAAUGAGCUAUUUUCUCUCCUUUAUGUUUACCCACAUAUUUGGGCUCAAGAAAUGGACUUGAGUUUCGGGAUUCCCAAGCAGCCCAAAACUUCCAUUUCUCAGCUCAUCAAUAGGCCUCAUGAAAGCUCGUAACCAUCUAUACCACAACCCAAUCAGCAAGCCCAAGGCAUUCGCGUGGCUUGGGUCCACUUAAACUUGUAGUGUGGCGUGUUGCUUAUUUGCUUGGCGUGGCACGUGUGCAAGCGUAUAUGAUGAACUCUUGCGUACCUAAAUUAGGUUUCUUCCCAAGUUAGGUGUCGUACUAGGCCGAGAAUUUAUUCGGGCCCAACAGUGGAUUUUUUGAACCUCAACACUUAGGUAGCAAAAAUCAGAGGACACAGAGAGAUAGAGAGAGGGAGACAGCCACAGACCAUCAAGUACUUUAAGUUAGGUUUGAUUCAUGAUAUUAACUGACUCUUAUAUUUGCUUUAAUAUCCAUGUGGAUGAAAUUUAAAAUGUGAUAUCAUGUGGUUAAGUAGUGGUGUAGGAUUUGUCUUUCAAUGGUUUCAACCAAUUUCGUGGAUGUUAAGAUUGAUAUAGGUUGGUUGACAAUAGGUAGAUCGUCCUUAUCGUUUCUAAUCCUAAUAUGACAAUGCCUUAUAUUAAUUUUCUAAUUUUUGGUUGAAUAUCUUAUUUGAACAAAGGCAUCUGAAAAUUUGAUCAUUUUGAUGUGUAGAGGCCAUUGUUACACUUCGCAAAGAAAAAUAAUGUAUAUCUUUUGCUGGACAAAAUUACGCUUAUAUAUAUGUGCUGGCUAGUGUGUUCCAUUUCUUUUUGUUUUGUUAUUUGGCAAAUGUUACACUUUUGUACAGGGGAACAAUACCACCCAUCUUUCCUUUUGAAGUGUUAUUUGAAGAAAAUGAUUUUGAAUGAUUUGAAAGAAUUACAUAUGCACUUUAAAAAAAAUGCAACCUUCAAAAAUACAUCCAAAUAGCUAAAUAAAGUAUUUCUUGUUUGUUUUAUGGGAAAUAUGAAACUUUGCUCCCACAGAUGAUAUUGACGGAGAAAAGAAAGAAUUUUCGUUCCUAAACCAAGAAGAGAAAUCACGUGGGUUUUUGAUCAGAAGAGGAGAUUGGAAUGAGUAGGAGGGUAUUUUAGAAAUUUUCUCCCCACUAAAAAUAUUAUCAAAAUAUUAAAUAGAAAGUUUCUUUUAAAAAAAGAAUAAAAGAUAGAGUCAAAAGUUAUUAACAGCUGGCGUCAUCUCAUUAGGCUGGGACACUGACGUGGACAGCUGACCAUAGCAUACCCAUGGCAGGGAAGUUUUUCUCCAGUGGAGGAGACUGUGCAGAAGAAGAUAGCCUUUUUUCUUAUGCUUUUCUUUCCUCUGCCCUUCUCUUUUCUAACUUGCUAUCAUGGUAUGGUUCUGAGCUUUCUCAUUCUCACGUCUUUGUUGUUGUAAUUCUAUCUGAGAAAUUUAUAAAAUUCUUCUCUGUAUUCUUUUUGGUCAGUUGGGUGAGUGCUGUUUGAUUGCCUUGUUGCUUUUUUUCUUCCCUGAUCUAGGGUUUAGGGUUUCAAACAUUUUAUUGAGCUUGAAGAGGAAGUGAUGAUGAUAAAGCAAGGACCUUUUGAUAAAGAUUACUACUUCCUGAUGUGGGCCUUUGACCAUAGAAAGAGAUCAGAUAAAGCAAGGAAAUGGGAGAAAAUAUACGCCCUUUGGCAUUUGAUGGUCCUUGUUGCUUGCUUGUAAGUUGUAAUUGUCGGUGAGCAGGCUUAGCUAAAGAGAGUAAAGGAAAGCAACAGUGAGAGAGAGAACUCUCCCUCCUCUCUUUUCCACACUUUCUCUCUCCAUCUUCUUUUCUUUAUCUCCUUUACUUUGCCACACCCAAAGCAAUACUUACUAAACUAACUAAUCCAAAAUGAUUAUUAAUUUAUUAACUGGGGUUAAUUGCUGCAGCCUUCAUCCCAAAGCAAUACUUACUAAACUAACUAAUCCACAGGCUUCUUGUGAGGCAAUCUUUUCUCUUAUUCAAUUACCCCAGUUAAUAUGAAACUGUUGAAAUCAAUAUUUAUAUAAAUACAAUUGCGAAAAAAUAUUUACGAAAUUUUGUAAGUAAUACGUAGAGCACGUGAUUUAAAAAAAAUAUCUCACAUAUGAGAAAGCGCGUACAAAAAGACUAAUAAAACAUAAACAAAAAGGAUAAUCCUCAAGGGGAGCCACUAAUUAUUGAUCAUAUACCAGACAACUCCCAUCUUUAUAUAACUUCCAUUUUCAUUUUUCUUUUAAUUUUGUAAUUUGUAAUUUGGAUUUUUGGGAGGUGGAGUGGGAUAAGAAUUAUAGGGUGCGGUUCGUGUACCUAGGAAACCGCCACGUUCUUUCUUUAGGAAAUUUGGGAUAAAGUUAAAAAAACAUAAGUUGGGAGGUAGUGAAAUUAAAAGCAAGGCCAUGUGUUUCAUGAAUCAAAAUCAGACAGUUUUGUGUCCCAGUGAUGCAGAGAUAUAUACAAAUAUCAUUUAGACUUUUGCUUUUGGGCUUUGAUCAGGAUCUGAUCCGUUAUCUCAUCACCUUUUUUUUUUCUUUUUCCUUUUUUUACUCUUCAGUUUCUGCAUGUGCGUUACACUAACAUCAUUACUAAUCUCCUUUUUAUCUAAGCUGUCUUUCUGUAAAGGUAACACUGAUAUUCCUUCCCCAUAAUUCAAAGAAAAAAGGAGUUUGAGAUGUGGAAAUAUGGAUUCCCGAAUCAAAACUUUUUGAUUUUGUUAACGAUUAUAGUGGGCCCAUCAGUACUGGGAAUUUGUCUGCUUAUUUUGAAUUGAAAGCUACCUCUUGUUGGAAAACCUUAAAAGUUGUUUCUUUCCAAGCCCACUUACACUUGCUGUGUAAACUAAUGAAGUCUACAUGAAAGCAAUCUCAUGUCCUAUUGUGUAUAUGCAUGUGCUUAAUUGGUGUAUAUUCUGUAGUACCACAACAGAAUGUUUAACAUUCAAUUGGGGCUAAUUCCAUGAUAGAGUGGUAAUUGAACAGUAUCAAUACAUCAAUAAGUGCACAGUUGGGUAUACACAAUGAUCAAAAGGAGACAAAACAUAACAGCGGUUUAAGUGUUUCAUAAGAGAGUAAAAUAGAAGAAAUUGAGAACUGUUCAUAAGCAAAUCUGCCCAUUCAUAAGCAUACGUCUAAUUAUAAAAUCAAAGAACAAGAUACUGAAUAAAAAUAAAGUGAGAAAGAGAGAUUGUUAAAUGCUCUCAGCAACCAAUCAUAUUGUAAAAUGAGAAAGAGAGAUGAUUGUCGUCAAACCUUGCUACAACGGCCGAGAUCUUUGGAUCCACUAGAAUCUCCCCUUUCAGCUUCAACCCCAGAUAUUUCUUUGUCUUUGUACCUCUCAACCUUGAAAGCCCUUGGAACAAGGUGGUUCUAUAUACCAGACAAAAGAAACCAAUUAUCAAAUUUAAUCAGAAACUCACAUUACCAACAAACAAAACCCAGCUAUCCAAAAAAAUUCAAGAAACCAAAAGACAAAGGGAAUAGAAAAAGCAAACUGACAUUUGAUUUCAAAAUCCCCAAUUUCUAGGGUUUGAACUGAUGAGAGCGAGGAGGAGAGAUGGACGAAAAGAUAGAGAGAGAGAGAGAGAGAGAGAGAGAGAGCACGCGAGCUUCAAGCUUCUCCCAUGGAAGCUAGCUUGAGUGAGAACCAGUAGCACAGAGCGAACCAGCAGAUCCAACGACAAGAGAAAAAAAAUUCAAGAAAAACGCAUUUGUUUUGUUUUGAAUAAUAAGGGUCUUUUUGCAAAUGACCCCAUUGGUGUAGUGGUUUGGAGUAUUUACUCCCUCAGACAAGGUCUUGGAUUCGAGUCCUAGCAUCCGCAUAGUGUGUGUGAGUUUAGUAUGCUAUCGCCCCUCUCAAUGAGUCCUGUUUACCUGUUACCAAAGUUCCUGUGGCCUCCUGUUUCCCUGCUAGUUUCGUGACAUGUGGCAAGCCACUUAACACCACUUAACUCUGUUAACUCUUUUUGCUUCUUUUUAUUGUUUGUUUUUUUUGCUUUUUCUCCCAGUUCUGCCCCUUGAGGGUUUAGGGUUUAGGGUUUAGAGCUGGUGUUUCGGCUCGAGUCCAUGUGUUGUUUUGGGCUGGUAAGGGAAAAAUGAGCGGAAAAGAUAAGAGAAGGUAGGGAAAAAGGGGGUGAAGGAGAAACUAAAAAAAGAAAUAAAAAAGGAGAUGAGAGAAAAAGAAAAACAAAGCAAAAGCAAAAGCAAAAAAAAAAAAGAAGAGAGAGAGAGAGAGAGAGAGAGAGAGAGAGAGAGAGAGAGAGAGAAUGUGGAGGUAGAGAUCUGGAAAAGAUAACAAAAAAAGAAGAAGAGGAGAGGAGACGACGGAGGGAGGGGGAGAGAAGAGAGAAAGGGGCAUAACAGGGAGAAAAAGAAAAAAAGAAAAAAAAAGCAAAAAGAAGCAAAAAGAGUAAACAAAGUUAAGUGGUUUUAAGUGGCUUGCCACAUGUCAUGAAAUUAGCAGGGAAACAGGGGGCACAGGAACUUUAGUAACAGGUAAAUCGGACUCCCUCUCAAUAGGAAAUAUCCACAAAACACAAAAGAAAAAAAGGUCUUUUAAAAUUUGUUUUGGAAUUGGAUUUUUAAAAAUAGACCUACCAAACGAGUUUUUGGGCUUUUGAAUUUAAAAUCAGUUUUUGAGUUUAUAAAAUUGGACUCAAAUCAAAUACCAAACAGACCCUUAAAGACUUAAUGUUUUCUUAAAAUAUUGCGUUUGUUUAUUUUAUAGAGUACAAUUAUAUGUUUUAAAUAAUUUUCAAAUUAUCUAAUAUUUUUUAAGAAUCAACUGUAAAUUAUGCCUGACGGUGAAAAUACAAUUUACCUCAAAAAUAACUAAUUAUUUGACGUUAUUUGACGUGUUGAGAAGGCUAAAUAUGGAGUCUACAGAAGUCUAGAGAGACUUGACUAGUUGACAUCCCUGUCUCCAAUUAGCCUAUAUAGGGCCAAGAGUAUGCUUACAUUACAGCAGCAACUCAAUAAUCUAGAGGCACUCUUGUUAAUUAUUCAUGGCAACUCCCAUUAUUUCUAGCUCCUCCUUCCUUAGGUUUUUCAUGGCUUUCUUCUCUGUAUUUCUAUGCCUAAGUCUCUGCUCUUUCGAGAACGGAUUUGCUUUGGCAGCAAGAGAUACAAAACCCCACCCUCUCCCACAUACCACUCACACAGUUGAAGUGAAGUCUCUUCUACCAGCAACCACCUGCAGCCCCUCCACCAAAGGUUAAUUCAUCCCAUAUUAUAUAUAUAUAUUAAUUUCAAACCCCAUUUUAUGUGCAUUUAUGUAUCUCUAACACACACACACACACUCUGUCUCUGUCUCUCUCUCUCUCUCUCUCUCUCUCUCUCUCUCUCUCUAUGCAUACAUGUUUCAAUGAUCUCAGGUCAUAACAUUAACAAGGCAUCAUCGGUACUGAAAGUGGUGCACAAACAUGGGCCAUGCUCCAAUUUCCACAAAUCAUCAAAAACUUCAACCACAACUUGUGAUGAAAAAUACCAUGCUCAAAUCCUCAAGCAAGACCAAGCCCGAGUCAACUCAAUCCACUCCCGCCUCAACCACAACAACAACAAAGACCCACUCACCCAAUCCGCCGCCACCACCCUCCCCGCCAAGUCUGGUCUCGUUAUCGGCACAGGGAACUACAUUGUCACCGUCAGCCUCGGUACACCCGCCAAGCAACUCUCCCUCGCCUUCGACACCGGCAGCGACCUCACCUGGACCCAAUGCAAGGCAUGUUCUGCUACUCAGUCUUGUUACAAACAGAGAGAGCCCAUCUUCAACCCUUUUCUCUCCGCCUCAUACAAAAAAAUCUCAUGUACCACCGCCGCGUGUACUCAGCUCUCAUCCAUCGGCGUCCAACACGG
rnacentral:lncRNA from 1 species